rnacentral:rRNA from 1 species
AGGUGCUUGCACCUCGAACUUAGCGGCGGACGGGUGAGGAACGCGUGGGUAACCUGCCCUAUACAGGGGGAUAACACAGAGAAAUCUGUGCUAAAACCGCAUAAGCCUACAGUACCGCAUGGUACAGCAGGGAAAACUCAGGUGGUAUAGGAUGGGCCCGCGUCUGAUUAGCUAGUUGGAGAGGUAACGGCUCACCAAGGCGACGAUCAGUAGCCGGUCUGAGAGGAUGGACGGCCACAUUGGGACUGAGACACGGCCCAGACUCC